GGAGGGCGUUUACCACGGUGUGGUCCAUGACUGGGGUGAAGUCGUAACAAGGUAACCGUAGGGGAACCUGCGGUUGGAUCACCUCCUUACG
rnacentral:rRNA from 1 species